UACGUAGGUGGCAAGCGUUGUCCGGAAUUAUUGGGCGUAAAGCGCGCGCAGGCGGUCCUUUAAGUCUGAUGUGAAAGCCCACGGCUCAACCGUGGAGGGUCAUUGGAAACUGGGGGACUUGAGUGCAGGAGAGAAGAGUGGAAUUCCACGUGUAGCGGUGAAAUGCGUAGAGAUGUGGAGGAACACCAGUGGCGAAGGCGGCACUCUGGGCCGGUACUGACGCUGAGGAGCGAAAGCGUGGGGAGCAAACAGG
rnacentral:rRNA from 1 species